CUACCCUUGACAUGCCUGGAAUCCUGCAGAGAUGUGGGAGUGCCCGAAAGGGAGCCAGGACACAGGUGCUGCAUGGCCGUCGUCAGCUCGUGUCGUGAGAUGUUGGGUUAAGUCCCGCAACGAGCGCAACCCUUGUCAUUAGUUGCUACGAAAGGGCACUCUAAUGAGACUGCCGGUGACAAACCGGAGGAAGGUGGGGAUGACGUCAGGUCAUCAUGGCCCUUAUGGGUAGGGCUACACACGUCAUACAAUGGCCGGUACAGAGGGCUGCCAACCCGCGAGGGGGAGCUAAUCCCAGAAAACCGGUCGUAGUCCGGAUCGCAGUCUGCAACUCGACUGCGUGAAGUCGGAAUCGCUAGUAAUCGCGGAUCAGCAUGUCGCGGUGAAUACGUUCCCGGGUCUUGUACACACCGCCCGUCACACCAUGGGAGCGGGUUCUGCCAGAAGUAGUUAGCCUAACCGCAAGGAGGGCGAUUACCACGGCAGGGUUCGUGACUGGGGUG
rnacentral:rRNA from 1 species